rnacentral:tRNA from 1 species
UGCCCCAUGGCUGUUGGUUACAGCGUCCGACUGUUAAUCGGAAGGUCGUGAGUUCGAGCCUCAUUGGGGCAG